rnacentral:rRNA from 1 species
UCCGAGGGNAGCCUACCAUGCAAGUCGAGCGGAAACGAGUUAUCUGAACCUUCGGGGAACGAUAACGGCGUCGAGCGGCGGACGGGUGAGUAAUGCCUAGGAAAUUGCCCUGAUGUGGGGGAUAACCAUUGGAAACGAUGGCUAAUACCGCAUGAUGCCUACGGGCCAAAGAGGGGGACCUUCGGGCCUCUCGCGUCAGGAUAUGCCUAGGUGGGAUUAGCUAGUUGGUGAGGUAAGGGCUCACCAAGGCGACGAUCCCUAGCUGGUCUGAGAGGAUGAUCAGCCACACUGGAACUGAGACACGGUCCAGACUCCUACGGGAGGCAGCAGUGGGGAAUAUUGCACAAUGGGCGCAAGCCUGAUGCAGCCAUGCCGCGUGUGUGGAAGAAGGCCUUCGGGUUGUAAAGCACUUUCAGUCGUGAGGAAGGUAGUGUAGUUAAUAGCUGCAUUAUUUGACGUUAGCGACAGAAGAAGCACCGGCUAACUCCGUGCCAGCAGCCGCGGUAAUACGGAGGGUGCGAGCGUUAAUCGGAAUUACUGGGCGUAAAGCGCAUGCAGGUGGUUUGUUAAGUCAGAUGUGAAAGCCCGGGGCUCCACCUCGGAAUUGCAUUUGAAACUGGCCGACUAGAGUACUGUAGAGGGGGGUAGAAUUUCAGGUGUAGCGGUGAAAUGCGUAGAGAUCUGAAGGAAUACCGGUGGCGAAGGCGGCCCCCUGGACAGAUACUGACACUCAGAUGCGAAAGCGUGGGGAGCAAACAGGAUUAGAUACCCUGGUAGUCCACGCCGUAAACGAUGUCUACUUGGAGGUUGUGGCCUUGAGCCGUGGCUUUCGGAGCUAACGCGUUAAGUAGACCGCCUGGGGAGUACGGUCGCAAGAUUAAAACUCAAAUGAAUUGACGGGGGCCCGCACAAGCGGUGGAGCAUGUGGUUUAAUUCGAUGCAACGCGAAGAACCUUACCUACUCUUGACAUCCAGAGAACUUUCCAGAGAUGGAUUGGUGCCUUCGGGAACUCUGAGACAGGUGCUGCAUGGCUGUCGUCAGCUCGUGUUGUGAAAUGUUGGGUUAAGUCCCGCAACGAGCGCAACCCUUAUCCUUGUUUGCCAGCGAGUAAUGUCGGGAACUCCAGGGAGACUGCCGGUGAUAAACCGGAGGAAGGUGGGGACGACGUCAAGUCAUCAUGGCCCUUACGAGUAGGGCUACACACGUGCUACAAUGGCGCAUACAGAGGGCGGCCAACUUGCGAAAGUGAGCGAAUCCCAAAAAGUGCGUCGUAGUCCGGAUUGGAGUCUGCAACUCGACUCCAUGAAGUCGGAAUCGCUAGUAAUCGUGGAUCAGAAUGCCACGGUGAAUACGUUCCCGGGCCUUGUACACACCGCCCGUCACACCAUGGGAGUGGGCUGCAAAAGAAGUAGGUAGUUUAACCUUCGGGGGGACGCUUACCACUUGGUUCACGGG